GUGGGGAAUUUUGGACAAUGGGCGAAAGCCUGAUCCAGCCAUGCCGCGUGAGUGAAGAAGGCCUUCGGGUUGUAAAGCUCUUUCAGACGGAAAGAAAUCUCUCGGGUGAAUAUCCCGGGAGGAUGACGGUACCGUAAGAAGAAGCACCGGCUAACUACGUGCCAGCAGCCGCGGUAAUACGUAGGGUGCGAGCGUUAAUCGGAAUUACUGGGCGUAAAGCGUGCGCAGGCGGUUGCAUAAGACAGAUGUGAAAUCCCCGGGCUCAACCUGGGAACUGCGUUUGUGACUGUGUAACUAGAGUACGGUAGAGGGGGGUGGAAUUCCUGGUGUAGCAGUGAAAUGCGUAGAUAUCAGGAGGAACAUCGAUGGCGAAGGCAGCCCCCUGGACCUGUACUGACGCUCAUGCACGAAAGCGUGGGGAGCAAACAGGAUUAGAAACCCUAGUAGUCC
rnacentral:rRNA from 1 species